rnacentral:rRNA from 1 species
CCUGCCGUUGGAUCAGUUUCGUUAAUAAUUACAAACAUAUUUUUUUAAUGUCUAUAACUAUUUAUACAAAAUUAAACACAUAAUCUAAAAAAUUUAGACCUUAGGCAAUGGAUGUCUUGGCUUCUUACACGAUGAAGAACGUUGCAUAAUGCGAUAAGCGGCUGGAUUAGCUUUCUUUGCGACAAGUUCGAUCUUUGAAUGCACAUUGCGCGCCGUUUUAGCUUGCUAGAACACGCAUAUAUGUUACAGUAACCCAUAUUAAUUUAAUACCAAAUUCUCUUUUUAAGCAAAAGAGCGAAAAACAAAUAUGUAUUAACAAAAGGGUUCUGUCUCAUAUAGGAAGACCCG